rnacentral:rRNA from 1 species
GACGAACGCUGGCGGCGUGCCUAAUACAUGCAAGUAGGACGCAGUUGCGAACGGGUGAGUAACGCGUAGGUAACUACCUAUUAGAGGGGGAUAACUAUUGGAAACGAUAGCUAAUACCGCAUACUAGUAGAUGGACCUGCGUUGUAUUAGCUAGUUGGUAAGGUAAUGGGCUACCUAGGCAACGAUACAUAGCCGACCCGGGGAGGUUGUCGGCCACACCGGGACUGGGACACGGCCCAGGCUCCUUCCGGAGGCAGCCGUUGGGGAUCCUCGGCAAUUGGGCGAACCCCGACCGCGCAAAGCCGGGGGAGUGAAGGAAGUUUUCUGAUCGUAAAACUCUGUUGUUAAGGAAGCGGUACUUAACCAGAAAGCGACGGCUAACUACGUGCCAGCAGCCGCGGUAAUAC